GUCUACGGCCAUGCCACCUGAACAAGCCUGAUUCCGUCUGACCCUGGAAGCUAAGCAGGGUCGGGCCUGGUUAAUACUUGAAUGGGACACCACCUAGAAAGACCAGGUGCUAUAGGUG
rnacentral:rRNA from 1 species